GAUGAAAGAGAAAUAAGGAAAACAAAAAAAAAAGAAAAAAAGAAAAAUGAGUUAUAGGAAUCGAAAUGGUUUAAUCAUCUUCCAACAGUGAUGAUUGACAUAGCUACUUCUAGGCCUGCAAGUAGAUGGUAGGGAUGUUUUGGUCAAUGAAAACAGUGAAUCAUCAAGUGUGUUAAGUCUCAAAUUGGAGCCUUCAUUAGAGAUAAAAUUAAAUAUUUGGUUAGCUGGAAAAUACGCUUCGUCUUCUCUCCUCUCCUGAAAUUCGUCUGAACGUGUAAGUUCCCACGAUCAGUGCGUGGUGGCUCUAUCAGCACCGGCACUGGUCCCAGUCUCUAUCAGCAGCGGCGCCGAUCCCAAUCUAUGUCCUUCUUCCUAUGUGCUUGGUUGUAGUUUGAUUCAUGACCGAUACUUCAAUUUGAGAGAUAUGCUUCGAGCAAAUCAACGAAAUUCCAGAUUUAUUGCAGAUAAUUAAUAAAAAGGUUCGGAUCUGGUGAUUAACAGGGUGGCCUAGCUACAAAGCUUUUGUUAUACAAAUCUCACUCUAGAUCUGGUUAGUUUUGUUGUGUUGCAUAUCUCUGGACUUCUUGUGUGGAUCUCUCUAUUUUAGGUUUAACUAAAUGGGUAGAGGUUUCUAUGGAUUCCUACUAUCCGUCUUCAUGCCGGCCGUUGCCUUUGUUCAUUGUGCUCCAGAUUAAGUGGAUGUAGCUCCUAGUUGCUUGUUCAGAUCUUGUGAAGAUUUGAUUUCGUUGUGGCUUCGUUCAUUAGCGUUUAUCAGUCGUAUACGACUCAGCCGUGUGUCCGAAGGUUGACAGAAUCUGAAGGAUUCUUCCCUGCCUAUUUGUGAAGUUUGUGUUACUUGGCUCUGAGGUGUUUCCUCGUUGUACUAGGAAUGAGUGGUUUUUCGGUGGUUUGGCGAGGGGAAUUCACGUUAAACAAUUUUCAUAGAUUUUCUAUCAUUUGGAUUUCUCUGUUUUGUUGAGAAGACUACCAAUUGUCUACGAAUAUUGUUGCUUAGUUUGUUUGUCCGUAUAGUUGUUCUGGUUUGUUGUUGUUUGGGGUUUAUGUAUCCUUUUAUGGGUUUUAGGUUCCGGAGAUAUUGUGUUGUCUGCCGGCUUAGUUAACCAUGGACAUUCCUUCGUCUGAUGGUUAUGUAUCAGUUUCAUCUCAUCUAUAUAAUCAGUUGACGAAAAAUA